UUAAUCUACCAAGCACAAGAGAGAUAGGAAUAAUAUGCCACACCGGUGUCACUACGGAAUACACAACAACCUUCUGUGCGUAACGCAGAGGUGAAAAGUAAGCAGAACUCGAAGUCACUCAGGUCCCGCUCACGUGACUUAGGACGACAGAGGGGUGAUCGCCAUGGUAACCAUCACUCCUGCAGCUUGCAACGCUGACUGUGAAAGGAUCAGUCAUCGGAAUUGAAACAAUCGGCAUGGCGUGCUCAGCACAAGUCCCUGGGAG